CGUGUAGGCGGUUUUGUAAGUCAGAUGUGAAAUCCUAGGGCUUAACCCUGGAACGGCAUUUGAAACUGCAAGACUAGAGGGUAGAAGGGGAAAACAGAAUUCCACAAGUAGCGGUGAAAUGCGUAGAUAUGUGGAGGAAUACCGGUGGCGAAGGCGGUUUUCUAUUUUAUACCUGACGCUGAGGCGCGAAAGCAAGGGGAGCAAACA
rnacentral:rRNA from 1 species